rnacentral:piRNA from 1 species
UGGGAAGCACAGCUUAAGGCUUCUCUAGC